GUGCCUUUUGAAUUCAGAACAAUUUCCAUUAUCUAUUAAAAAUAAAAUACAGGCUGGGCACGGUGGCUCACGCCUGUAAUCCCAGCACUUUGGGAGGCCGAGGUGGGCGGAUCAUGAGGUCAAGAGAUGGAGACCAUCCUGGCCAACAAGGUAAAACCCUGUUUCUACUAAAAAUACAAAAAAUAGGACGGCCUCCGUGCGGCCGAAGAGCGGAUGGACUGGCGGGCAAGUGAGUGAGCCAGUAGUGUGAGGCGCCAGGCGAGGCCGAGCCACGAGUGACAUGGGGGACCGGGAGCAGCUGCUGCAGCUGGCAAGGCUGGCCGAGCAGGUGGAGCGCUACGACGACAUGGCCUCCGCCAUGAAGGUGGUGACAGAGCCGGAUGAACCUCUCUCCAAUGAAGAUCGAAAUCUCUCUGUGGCUUACAAGAAUGUAGUUGGUGCCAGGCGAUCCUCCUGGAGGGUCAUUAGCAGCAUUGAGCAGAAAACCAUGGCUGAUGGAAAGGAAAAGAAAUUGGGGAAGGUUAAAGCUUACCUGGGGAAGAUUGAGAAGGACCUGGAGACAGUUUGCAAUGAUGUUCUGCCUCUGCCUGACAAGCUCCUGGUCAAGAACUGCAGUGAUUUCCAGUAUGAGAGCAAGGUGUUUUACCUGAAAAUGAAAGGUGAUUACUAGGGCUACUUAGCAGAGGGCGCUUCUGGGGAGAAGAAAAGCAGUGUGGUCGAAGCUUCUGAACAUGCCUACAAGGAAGCCUUUGAAAUCAGCCAAGAGCAGAUGCAGCCCACGCACCCCAUUCGGCUGGGCCUGGCCCUCGACUUCUCUGUGUUCUACUGCGAGAUCCAGAAGGCACCCGACCGAGCAAGCCUGCCUCCUAGCCACACAAGCCUUCGACGACGCCAUAGCUGAGCUGCACACACCAAAUGAGCGUUCCUAUAAGGACUCCACGCUCAUCAUGCAGUUGCUGCGAGACAACCUCACCCUCUGGACGAGCGACCAGCAGGAAGAAGAAGCAGGAGAAGGCAACUGAAGAUCCUUCAGGUCCCCUGGCCCUUCCUUCACCCACCACCCCCAUCAUCACCGAUUCUUCCUUGCCACAAUCACUAAAUAUCCAGUGCUAAACCUAUCUGUAUUGUUAGCACAGCUACUCAGAUCUGCACCCAUCUCUUGGGAAGCAGUUUCAGAUAAAUCAUGGGCAUUGCUGGACUGACGGUUGCUUUCAGCCCACAGGAGCUCCCUCUGUGAAUUGUGCAGAGCGCUGUGUUCUGAUGAGGCACUUCACUGUGCCUGUUGAUCUAUGGGAAAUCCAGGCGAAAGUAAUGCGGGGAGAGAAUUAGCCAGCAGAGGCUGCCGUUGAUAUUUAAAAGAUCCAUUUAAAACAAGCUGAUAGUGUUUGAUUAAGCAGUACAUCUUGUGCAGG